rnacentral:rRNA from 1 species
AGAGUUUGAUCCUGGCUCAGGAUGAACGCUGGCGGCGUGCCUAAUACAUGCAAGUCGAACGAGGUGCUUUUGUAGCAAUACGGAAGUAUCCUAGUGGCGAACGGGUGAGUAACGCGUUGGUGACCUACCCCAAAGUGUGGGAUAACAGUCCGAAAGGAUUGCUAAUACCGCAUGUGGUCUUCGGAUUUAGAAACUGAUGACUAAAGGAGCAAUUCGCUUUGGGAGGGACCUGCGUCCCAUCAGCUAGUUGGUGAGGUAAUGGCUCACCAAGGCUACGACGGGUAGGGGACCUGAGAGGGUGACCCCCCACAAUGGAACUGAAACACGGUCCAUACACCUACGGGUGGCAGCAGUAGGGAAUAUUGCACAAUGGGCGAAAGCCUGAUGCAGCAACGCCGCGUGUGCGAUGAAGGCCUUCGGGUCGUAAAGCACUUUUCUGAGGGAUGAGCAAGGACAGUACCUCAGGAAUAAGUCUCGGCUAACUACGUGCCAGCAGCCGCGGUAAAACGUAGGAGGCAAGCGUUAUCCGGAUUCACUGGGCGUAAAGCGCGUGCAGGCGGUUCGGUAAGUUGGGCGUGAAAUCUCCUGGCUUAACUAGGAGAGGUCGUUCAAUACUACCGGACUUGAGAGUGGUAGAGGAAGAUGGAAUUCCCGGUGUAGUGGUGAAAUGCGUAGAUAUCGGGAGGAACACCAGUGGCGAAAGCGAUCUUCUGGACCAUUUCUGACGCUCAGACGCGAAAGCUAGGGUAGUAAACGGGAUUAGAGACCCCGGUAAUCCUAGCCGUAAACGAUGUAAACUUGGCGUCGGUGGCUUAAACUCCAUCGGUGCCGCAGCUAACGCGAUAAGUUUACCGCCUGGGGACUACGAUCGCA